rnacentral:rRNA from 1 species
CACGGGGGGAGCAAGCGUUGUUCGGAAUCACUGGGCGUAAAGGGCGUGUAGGCGGUUCGGUAAGUGGAAUGUGAAAUCCCUCGGCUCACCCGAGGACCUGCAUCCCAAACUGCCGAGCUUGAGUAUGGGAGAGGAUGAGGGAAUUCCUGGUGUAGCGGUGAAAUGCGUAGAUAUCAGGAGGAACACCGGUGGCGAAGGCGGAUCUCUGGGCCAUAACUGACACUGAGGGACGAAAGCUAGGGGAGCGAAAGGG